ACGACUUGCUCCCAUUUUCAUAUGCUUAUGACCCGGAAUUGCAGAGAGUCAUCCACACUGGACAGCUGUCAACCCAUCCAAUAUCAACCCAGUAAACUGCAGUGGAUUCUGUUCUUCUGUGUUCCAGUGUGUCACUGUGUAAGACCUGAGCCCUAGGACCAUGCCUCAGGACUACCUGACAUGAUGACUCCUUGCUGUCCCCAGUCCACCUGGCCGUGCUGCUGCUCCAGUUUCAACUGUUCUGCCUUAUUAUUAUUGGACCAUGCUGGUGAUUUAUGAACAUUUGAACAUCUUGGCCAUGUUCUGUUAUAAUCUCCAGAAGAGCCAGAAGAGGACUGGCCACCCCACAUAGCCUGGUUCCUCUCUAGGUUUCUUCCUAGGUUUUGGCCUUUCUAGGGAGUUUUUCCUAGCCACCGUGCUUCUACACCUGCAUUGCUUGCUGUUUGGGGCUUUAGGCUGGGUUUCUGUACAGCACUUUGAGAUCUCAGCUGAUGUACGAAGGGCUAUAUAAAUACAUUUGAUUUGAUUUGGUACAGCUACAUGAUGCUCGGACAUUGUCGUGCCUGAUGGGUAAAAUGAACCACUGUCCCAUCGGAAAUGAGAAUUGGAAAGAGAAUUGCAUGCGUGUACUGCUUGUGUGGAUUCUAGAACAGAGCACGCUUCUCCUCUGGCCUCGAUCUGGAUGCGAGGUAGCUCCGCUUGUUGUGAGGAGAUGUCGCCAUCUGUGCCAGUUAAACAAGUCUUAUGUUUUGGUCUCGCGUCUUUAUCUUCAAAAAGACUUUGCCUCUGCAAUCUUGAUAGUCCUCGACUAUAUCAAACGAUACGAAGGAGAAUGUUGUCAAAAGAGCAGGGUUCAGUACAAUGAAGCUCUUCGCUUUGAUGGAAGAUUUUCUUCCCUAUUCUUACACUGCAACCUCUGGUGUCAAGCAGAGCUAGUCUCAACACCUUGCUGUUUACAUCAAAGUAGCUCGAGCACGACUCCGUUCUGCAAUGUUUUCACUUUAUUGAUUUCCCGAGCAAUAGCAUUAUAUAAGCACAGAAUAUCUAAUUCUCCUUCUGUCUGCAUAGAGUACACACAAGUUUAUCCCUAUGAGAUUCACAACAGAAAACAUUCCCCAUUUCAUUUAUGCCCUUUCAUUGAACUUUGACUCCUUUUUCUUUGCCCUUUGAAGGCCAAAAUAAUCUGGAGAGAAACUGUGUUAUGAUAAUUGUAAGCACAUUUAUAAUAACAAAUCAAUGCCUCUUCUCCCUUUCAUUUACUCCCAAGGCUAUUAGUCCCAAAGCCAACUGCCAUUUUAGCGUUACCUGUUUGUACACUUACCUGUUUCUUUACGUAAAUCCCAGGCCUGUGUUGACAGAAUGGCCCUCGUCACCAUGUUGAUAUGGCCAGCUGUGGAUAGGAUAGCUCACCUGACCAUCGACCAGCAGGCUGUAAUGUAAAC
ensembl:lncRNA